GAGGCAGUAAAAGUUAAAGACCGGCGGAGGUGUUUUACAUUGUCACAGACCCAACCUAUAAGAAGCUUUUGAUUGGACCCCACAUCAACGACGUCAAUGUGGUUGUGCACACGAUUACAGUGGAGGAGUUGCCUGUUGAGGGUUGUAUUGCGCAAAGUGAAGCCAUUCAUGGCCUUCACAAGAAGCAAGAGUUACCUUCCAGCACCAGUGGCAGAGGAAAUGAGACCCCGAGCCCUACUAAUUGCCUACUGGAGGGUGUAGUGGGCAAACUGAUAUGGAAGAUGCUAUUUCAGGGCCUUGACAUCCCUGAGGUACCCAUGAACGACAGCUGCUCGGGGAACUUUAAGCUACAGUAUGAACUGGUUGCGAAGCUUUGUCCUCUGAUGGUAAGGACAAUCAUGGCUACAACCAUAGCCAAUCAACCACCUACUAUUCAAGAAGCAGUGAUGUCUUCCGAGAACAUCCAUGUAAAAGAGCUGUGUGAGGCAUGUAUCAAACCUCUCAAAGAGAACCAUGUACCCGAUGACUGAGACAAACAUCAUGUUCAGAGGGGUUUUGAGUGAAAUUGAAUCCUGUAUGAUUGAGACCUCCGACAAGGACUCUCCCAGUCUGCAUUCCACACCAGAGGUGGUUGUAGACCUGAUCACCAAGCUGCUUCAUGGGUAUGAGCUUCACUCAGAGGACCUUGUAUCACCUGUGUCAUCCCCAAACACCACUCUCUCUGAUGUGGCAAUGGACAUGGUGGUUCCUGUCCUUCGGGACAUGUCCGAUUCCCCAGACGUUACCUCAACAUUGGAAAUGACCAAGGAUCUCAAGACGCCGUACUCCUGCCCCUCAAGUGCAAGUAUUGUAAGUGCCCUCUGCAGAGAGCUGGAGGAGCAUAUGGGCUCUCCUGAUGCUCUGAGGCAAGCUUUGAGCCGCGGCAGCGGGGAGAUGACAACAGCCAUUGCGAGUGCAGUCACCAGGGAAGUCAACCGUCUGGGUUCAAACGUAUCCAAAGUCUCUGUUCGGCCGCUCUCCUCGGACAUCUGCCUAAGGACAGACCAGGACACGGUCAUGGUUAAGAGCCGAUGUGGCUCGGCUUAGGUGAAGGCAUCCCAAACGGUGUAUAUUAUUGUUCACGUAGAGGCGGUGAUGGAUAUCAUUGUCCGGCUGCUGUCUCUAAUUGUUCCUCGAACCCAGGAUAAACUGGCCAGCUGGACCUUAGUUGAGGAUGUGACCAACAAGCUGUCCAGUGCUCUGUGGGUGAGGGUGACUAACAGGUGGAGGGAAGCAAAUGUCUGCCUGAAGGAAACAGACAUCUUUCAGUUGGUGCUGUCUGUGCAUAGAAAGUUGAUGCAAUGCUAUGGCACAGAGGAAGCCCUACAGAAGAUACUGUGCCACAAGGCACCCAAGCUGCACAAGGACAUUGUCUGUCUUGUCACGAACGGAAUUAUGGAUGCACCAUCCAAACUUCAAGGCACCAAAUAUCUGGAAUCUACACUCAACUUGAAAGAAUUGACAGCAUUGUUUAAUGAAAUGACAACCCGUCAAUCUUUGAAUAAGAAAGCUGAGCAGAGCAGCAUCAAGACUGAGAUUGAACAGCCGGAGUGGUCCAUGGUGGAACAAGUGACAUCCGGUUCCACCAGCUUCAUUAGGGAGCUUAUAUUAGAAGAAGUCCUGAUGAAGCUUGUCAAGAAGAUAUGCCGUAUGCCAAAAAAGGACCAACAAGCGUCAGCCUUGGGAAGGUCAAGUAUUUGAAACACUCCUUGAAAAUUGACGAUUUAUUUGAGGAUCAGGAGAUGCUUUCCAUUGUCUCUGACAUUGUUUCCCACAAGCUACUGGCCAUCUUGAAACCCUCAGUGCCCAACUCAUAUGACCGCGAGACCUCAGAGUUGAAGACUCAUGCAGUGAUGAUGUGGAGGAUGCGGAAUCUGAGGGGGUGUAUUAUGCCACUGGCAGAAAGGUAAGACAAGCUCAGUGUAACGGCUUUCUUCCUGGGAUGAAGGAGAGGACCAAAAUGCAGCGCAGUUAGUGUUCAACAUGUUUAAUUAAACAAUAAACGAUAAACAUUAACAAAUAACAAAAUAACAAACGUGAAAGCCGAGACAGUCCUAUCUGGUGCAGAACACAAACACAGAGACAGGAAACAACCACCCACAAUCCCCAACACAAAACAAGCCACCUAUAUAUGAUUCUCAAUCAGGGACAACGAUUGACAGCUGUCUCUGAUUGAGAACCAUAUUAGGCUGAACACAGAAACAGACGAACUAGACACACAACGUAGAAUUCCCACCCAGCUCACGUCCUGACCAACACUAAACAAGCAAAACACAUAAGAACUCUGGUGCUUUUUAAAAUCGGCACCAGUAAGUAUAGUUGUAUAAUUAUAGGAAUAUGUAAAGGAAGUGAAAUUGAAGUUUAAUUGUGCAUCCUUGAAUUCUGACCACAGUCCAACAUGAGCGUUGUCCUUGCAGACACUACAGACCAGCCAGAGAUGUACAUUGCGGUGGAUUCUCCACCUAUGAAUAAAUUAUCCAAGACGAGGAAAGGCAUCCGGGGCUUCUUCUGGGGAGUCCAGAAGGCCUGGAAACGCUUGGUCACCUGCAAGUCCUCUGGGUCCUCUGAUGGGUAGCCUGGAUGACGUGCAGCCCAUGUCAGUUGCUUUUGCCAGGCUACAUCUGAGGAGGACCCCACAACCGGCCUCAAUACAACAUUUUUUAUUUUUGUUGUUCAUUUCUGUUUUCAUUUUGAGUCCCCUAAUGCUGCAAUAUUUGAACCAGGCUGUCAGUGGACUAGUUUACCAUUAGUUUAUACUCCUUAACCUUUCUGAACCACCCAUCCCGGUACCGGGAUAAUUGUCAUCAGCAACGCUGAAUAGCAUAGCGCCACAGUCAAAUAAUAUUACAAAAAAUAUUUAUAAUCAUGCAAUCACAAGUGAAUUAUACCAUAACACAGCUUAGCUUGUGGUUAAUCCACCUAUGGUGUCAGAUUUUGAAAAUAUAUUUUAGAGGGAAAGAAAUCCAAGCUUUUGUGAGUGUAGUUAUCAAUGCUACAUCAGCUAACCCCAAAUUAGCAUAGUCACGAAAGUGUGAAAAACAAUCAAAUUCAUCGCUUACCUUAGAUAAUCUUCAGACGUUUCCACUCACAAAACUCCCAGUUACACAACAAAUCUUCUUUUUGUUCGAUAAAUAUUACUUUUAUCACAAAAAAACGCCAUUUGGGUUGUGUGUCAUGAUGAAAAAAACGAUAGCCUCAUUCCGGUCCUGAAAGGAAGACGAAAAUUUCCAAACGUAUCAGAUUAAAAAAUAUUACAAAAAAUAUUUAUAAUCAUGCAAUCACAAGUGAAAUAAACCAAAACACAGUUUAGCUUGUUGUUAAUCCACCUAUCGUGUCAGAUUUUGAAAAUAUAUUUUACAGUGAAAGAAAUCCAAGCUUUUGUGAGUGUAGCUUUCUAUGCUAUAACAGUUUAGCCUUAUAUUAGCUUGGUUAGCAUGGUCACGAAAGUAAGAAAAGCAAUCAAAUUAAUCGCUUACCUUUGAUAAUCUCCUGGUGGUUCCACUCACGAGACUCCCAGUUACACAACAAAUGUUAUUUUUGUUCGAUAAAUUUACUUUUAUCACAAAACACUGCCAUUUGGUUUGCGCAAUAUUUUGCGGAAACAAAAGCCUUGUUCCGUUCGACAAAUCCCCAAAAGUAUCCGAAAUGGUCAUAGAAACAUUCCAAAUGUUUUUUAUAAUCAAACCUCAGGUUGUCUUUAACAAACAUAAUCGAUAAUAUUUAAACCGGAGCAUAACCUAUUCAAUAAGAGAGAAAAAGAAAAUGGAGAGCCCCUCUCUCGCGCGCAGGAAAUAUUCGGAGGACACCUGACCUGUUUUGAAACAUCUCGCUCAUUUUUCAAAAUGAAAGCCUGAAACUAUGUCUAAAGCCUGGUCACAGCCUGAGGAAGCCAUUGGAAAAAGAAUAUGGUUGAUACCCCUUUAAAUGGAGGUUAGACAGGCCAGAAAACAAAGUUUAAAAAAUAUAUAUAUAUCACUUCCGGGUUACUUUUUUCUCACGAUUUCGCUUGCAGAAUAAAUAUUAUUUUUCUCACAGACAACAUUUUGACAGUUUUGGAAACCUUGGAGUGUUUUCUAUCCUAAUCUUUAAAUUAUAUGCAUAUUCUACGAUCUGGGCCAGAGAAAAUGUACGUUUACUUUGGGUACGUAUUUUGAAGAAAAAAAAACAAUUCUGACCCCUAGCGCUAAUUAAGGAAGAUCCACUAUAGGCCACUCAACACCAAAAUUCCAUCUGGGUCUUUUGAUGCCUUAAUAGCUCCAACUCCUGUAACUAGGAAUGUGAGCUUCUAAAUGUCAUUCAGACAUCUACAGCUUUUCCUGUGAUUAGGAAGAUAAGCUAAGAAGCCCAACCAAAUGACUAGAUUUGCUGUACAUCAGAUGCCCUCUCCCUAUUGUAAUCAUUGAUCCACGUCCAUUGCAGCCUUGACAUUUGAUGUAGAUAUAUAGCCUAAAUUAAAGAAUUACAAGGAGGGUAGGCCGACAGCAGCUUCUACUCUUACGAUUAGGAAAUGGACGUGUAAGAAAAACUUUUAUGCUCAUAUAUGCUUGAAGCCAAGAUAGGCCUUUAUAUCUAUGCAUUAGCUUUUAGUAACAAAAGGCAUAGCAAAUGAACUUAUAUUACUAGUGUGUUUGCAGUAUGUUGCACAACCUGCUUCUGGCAUGCCAUACUAAUGUUUCCACAUACAGCCAAGAAAACAGGAACUGGGUCAACCGCAGAGGUCUAAGGGACUUCAUCUUGUGAUGACAUAUCUGCUGAUGGCUGGAAGACACACACACACACACACACCACCCACGCACAUUCACACUCAAACACAGAGAACCACACACACCGCAUUAAUACCUAAUAGAGCUUCUAGGGAUCCUAAGCUUAUGAACAUUGUGCACCCGCGGCAGUUGGGAAAUUCAAAACAGACAUUAAGCAAGGGACAUUCUUCAACAACAAUGGUGGACCAAUAAGCAUGGACUACGCCCGGACCAGAGCCAACCAGAGGACCAGGACUUCAAAGAAUCAACCUACUUUCUGUAUUGUAUAUAAUCUGUAAUCAACCUGUUUUAGGGGCUCUCUUCUUUUAGCUCACUCGGAGUUCUUAGACGGAGCCCGCAUGCGCAGUACCAAAUAUAUUUACUCUGAAUAAACUGCUGAUUGUUAAACUUUAA